CCCCUCUCAGGAUCACACCUGGAGAGUUUCCAGUAUUCUACCAGUCUCGGCCAUGGGAGGGAGAGUCAAACAGAGGCAUACCCAUUUCAUCCCUAGCUUGGGCAGUGGCUAGCGAGUGAAAGGCAAUCAGCUACAAGU